UUACAACAGAUUGUUUGGAAGAGAUUGAAAGAGAAGAUCCAGUGAAAUGGACAUCCAUUUAACCUGUAUCGUUUCAGCAGGGCCGUAAAUCUAUGUACGGAUGAUCACCAUUCUGUCCAAUAAGUCGACAGGUAUGCGCCCUUCAUAUCUGCAAAAAUGGACAUCCAUUUGACACAGACUAGAACCAAAAUAGCUCAAGCAAUGGAUAUGAUAUCAGGCGAAACUUAUAGAAAAACAAAAAAAUAAUAUUCAUCUUGCAGCAGAGGUCUAAUAUAUUCGGAUUCUCAAAUUGCAUUGCAUGCCUGGAAAAUCAACAUGUAAAACUAUGCUAACCAUCUAAAAGCUGCCGAUGUUUCAAAAAUUCUGACACUUACGUUACAAAUGUCUCUAUUUGUAGCCAAAUUACUGUGAGCUCUCUAAAGCACGAUUCAAGUAUGAAAAGCACUCCCUGUCCAGCAUAUGCACCUGCUAACCAUGAUUUAGAGAACCUAAGCAUGCAUGAUGUGUAAAAUGUUUUCAGCAUGUGCACGGGUCAAAGAAACAAAAUAAGUUUUCGCUGUAACCCUUCCUUUGAAACAUCCAUCUUUCCACAUCAACAUCCUAAACAUCAAAAAACAAGCCUUUAAAUCACAAAUUAAGAAAAACCCAUGUUUGGAUUGUAAAUGCCCAAAUUUGACCGGGCUUACAACCCAAGCCCAAAUUUAGCUCAUGGCCCAAAAUAAAAAAAACCUAGCCCAACUAAACCUAAAGCCAACAGCAAAAAAGAUAACAGAAAAAGAAAAAGAGUACCCUAGGUGCGCCGCACCUAGGGCCGCCCUUAGGCCUGCCAUUGCCACUGUCUCUGCCGCCGCUACUCGCCAAUCGCCGGCUUCGCGUGUCCGCGUCUGACACCUGCAAAACGAAGCACACGCAACAGAAAAAGGCCGAAUAGGAAAAUAGCAUGAAAAAGAACAAAAAAUGGAUAUUAAGAGUUGUUUAGAUCGGCUAUAAAAGCCGAAAUUUCACCUUUGUAAUUUUCUUCGGUUUUACGAACCCACAUCAGAAAUCAAAAGCUGAAUAGAAAUUUUAAAAGGUUAAAUCCUUGUUAUUUCCUCUUCGUUUUUUCUUUUUCUUUUAUUUAUUUAUUUGUUUUAUCUUAUUUUAUUUUUUCCCUUCUUUUGCAAAUCUAUUUUAAAUAACUAUAAUAAAAAUCAGAAGCAAAGAAUAAGGGGAAGAGAACUCACCGGAGUUGGCCGUGACCGUGCCGCCGGGGGUCUCUCCUUCAUCGUCGGCCGCCGGUCUUUGUGGCUGUGGCGGUGGCAUUCCAGGGGUUAAGAAACCCAAGGGUCGGGUGUUUGAAAGAAUAGGGGAAGGGUUUUGAAACAAAAAAGAAAAAAGAAACAGAGGCUAGAAU
rnacentral:lncRNA from 1 species